rnacentral:rRNA from 1 species
GAUGAACGCUGGCGGCGUGCUUAACACAUGCAAGUCGAACGAAGAAGAGUUGAAUGAGAGCUUCGGCAGGAUUUCUUCUCAUCUUAGUGGCGGACGGGUGAGUAACGUGUGGGCAACCUGCCCUAUACUGGGGAAUAAUCACUGGAAACGGUGACUAAUACCGCAUGUCAUCACUAAAGGGCAUCCUUCGGUGAAAAAAGGAGUAAUUCGGUAUAGGAUGGGCCCGCAUCUGAUUAGCUAGUUGGUGAGAUAACAGCCCACCAAGGCGACGAUCAGUAGCCGGACUGAGAGGUUGGCCGGCCACAUUGGGACUGAGACACGGCCCAGACUCCUACGGGAGCAGCAGUGGGGAAUAUUGGGCAAUGGGCGCAAGCCUGACCCAGCAACGCCGCGUGAAGGGAGAAGGCUUUCGGGUUGUAAACUUCUUUUGUCAGGGACGAACAAAUGACGGUACCUGACGAAUAAGCCACGGCUAACUACGUGCCAGCAGCCGCGGU